CACGGUAGGGAAUCACGUGACUUUUACGGUUACGCGUACAGACAAUAUGGCGGCCUAAAAACCUCGCUUCACAUGUGUUUUUCAGUUUGCAGAUAUGGACGGUUCCAGCUCGGAUAUUGUUUGUGGAUAAUGUUGGACAACAUUUGUCUUAAUGACCACAUAAACUGGCUACUCGGCACAGGACCUUGUAAAUGUUGUGGCAAGUCGAAACGUGACAGAUCCUGGUCCUGGCUGAAAUUAAGAGUAUUACAGCUGUAGCUUCUAUACCAUAAAUUUAACAUGGAAAGGACUGUUCUUGUGAAAAUGCUGACGUAACUGAUGGGAGCAGUUUUUCUUACCAAUCAUAGAAGCAGUAGAAGUAUUCAAACACCAUCAUGAAACACUUAAGACAUACCCAGAGUGCUCUAGAAGAAGUACUAGUGGUAGAUUGGAACAGAUUGUAGCUUAAUUGUUAAACUAAAAGGACUUCUUAAAUCGUUUGAAUUUAAGCUACACUUGAACUGUAGUUUUGAAAUAAAAUAGCUGAAGUAUUUAAAA